GACGAACGCUGGCGGCGUGCUUAACACAUGCAAGUCGAACGGUGAAGCGCCUUCCUUUUUGGUGGGUGUGGAUGAGUGGCGAACGGGUGAGUAACACGUUAGUAACCUGCCCCCUUCUUCUGGAUAACCGCAUGAAAGUGUGGCUAAUACGGGAUAUUCUGGGUCUGUCGCAUGAUGGGUCUGGGAAAGAUAUUGUUUCGGUGGGGGAUGGGCUCGCGGCCUAUCAGCUUGUUGGUGGGGUGAUGGCCUACCAAGGCGGUGACGGGUAGCCGGCCUGAGAGGGUGGACGGUCACACUGGGACGGAGACACGGACAAGACUCCUACGGGAGGCAGCAGUGGGGAAUAUUGCACAAUGGGCGCAAGCCUGAUGCAGCGACGCCGCGUGAGGGAUGGAGGCCGUCGGGUUGUGAACCUCUUUCGCCAGUGAAGCAGGCCUGCCUAGUUUGUGGGUGGGUUGACGGUAGCUGGAUAAGAAGCGCCGGCUAACUACGUG
rnacentral:rRNA from 1 species